rnacentral:rRNA from 1 species
AUUGAACGCUGGCGGCAUGCCUUACACAUGCAAGUCGAACGGCAGCGGACCUUCGGGUGCCGGCGAGUGGCGAGCGGGUGAGUAAUAUAUCGGAACGUACCUUUCAGUGGGGGAUAACGUAGCGAAAGUUACGCUAAUACCGCAUAUUCUGUGAGCAGGAAAGCAGGGGAUCGCAAGACCUUGCGCUGAUUGAGCGGCCGAUAUCAGAUUAGCUAGUUGGUGAGGUAAAGGCUCACCAAGGCGACGAUCUGUAGCGGGUCUGAGAGGAUGAUCCGCCACACUGGAACUGAGACACGGUCCAGACUCCUACGGGAGGCAGCAGUGGGGAAUUUUGGACAAUGGGCGCAAGCCUGAUCCAGCCAUGCCGCGUGAGUGAAGAAGGCCUUCGGGUUGUAAAGCUCUUUCGGCCGGGAAGAAAUCGCACAGGUUAAUACCCUGUGUGGAUGACGGUACCGGAAUAAGAAGCACCGGCUAACUACGUG